rnacentral:rRNA from 1 species
UGGGGAAUUUUCCGCAAUGGGCGAAAGCCUGACGGAGCAAUGCCGCGUGGAGGUAGAAGGCCUACGGGUCGUGAACUUCUUUUCCCGGAGAAGAAGCAAUGACGGUAUCUGGGGAAUAAGCACCGGCUAACUCUGUGCCAGCAGCCGCGGUAAUACAGAGGGUGCAAGCGUUAAUCGGAAUUACUGGGCGUAAAGCGCGCGUAGGUGGUUUGUUAAGUUGAAUGUGAAAUCCCCGGGCUCAACCUGGGAACUGCAUCCAAAACUGGCAAGCUAGAGUAUGGUAGAGGGUAGUGGAAUUUCCUGUGUAGCGGUGAAAUGCGUAGAUAUAGGAAGGAACACCAGUGGCGAAGGCGACUACCUGGACUGAUACUGACACUGAGGUGCGAAAGCGUGGGGAGCAAACA